UCGAGAAUCUUCGGCAAUGGGCGCAAGCCUGACCGAGCGACGCCGCGUGCGGGAUGAAGGCCUUCGGGUUGUAAACCGCUGUCGUAGGGGAGGAAGGUUGCGCGAAGAGCGCAGCUUGACCGAUCCUAGGAGGAAGGGCCGGCUAAUCUCGUGCCAGCAGCCGCGGUAAUACGAGAGGCCCAAACGUUAUUCGGAUUUACUGGGCUUAAAGAGUUCGUAGGCGGCGCAGAAAGUAGGGUGUGAAAGCCCUCGGCUUAACCGAGGAAUUGCGCCCUAAACUACUGUGCUUGAGGAAGCUAGAGGUGAGCGGAACUGAUGGUGGAGCGGUGAAAUGCGUUGAUAUCAUCAGGAACACCGGAGGCGAAGGCGGCUCACUGGGGCUUUUCUGACGCUGAGGAACGAAAGCCAGGGGAGCGAACGG
rnacentral:rRNA from 1 species